rnacentral:tRNA from 1 species
GGCGAGAUAGCUCAGUUGGUUAGAGCGCAUGAUUCAUAAUCAUGAGGGCGAGAGUUCAAUUCUCUCUCUCGCUACAA